UACGAACUGUGCAAACGUUAUUCGGAAUCACUGGGCUUAAAGGGUGCGUAGGCGGCUAUCUAAGCAGGGUGUGAAAGCCCCCGGCUCAACCGGGGAAUUGCGUUCUGAACUGGAUGGCUGGAGUGAGAUAGGGGUGUGUGGAACUUCCAGUGGAGCGGUGAAAUGUGUUGAUAUUGGAAGGAACGCCGGUGGCGAAAGCGACACACUGGGUCUCAACUGACGCUGAGGCACGGAAAGCCAGGGGAGCGAACGGGG
rnacentral:rRNA from 1 species